GAAUUUAGGUUGUAAAAGGUGGAAGGGGAAGAUUGGAUCCUCAUUGCAACGCUGUAUGAUUUGUUGAUAGGAGAUCGUUCAUUGCUCAGUGGAGUCUUCUUGAUCGUAACUUCUAGUCAACGCGACGAAGGAACACAAGCUUGUAAGAUCACCAAAGUUGCAGGAGAACCAAGUAAAAUAAGGAGCUCAGAGAGUACCAAAUAUGAGCAUUUUUUGGAUUGGAGCAGGCUGUGACCAACAAUCCUGGAUGCAGUUGCUGAGUUUUAGAGAGCCAAGAAACUUCUGCUCUUCUGAAGUAAAAUACUUAACACUUGUUAUUCGAAACAAUUUUAUGAUAAUUUUGUUUCUUUCAACAUCAAGACUUAAAGUCCUGUAGUCCAAUGUCAUAUUCCAUUGCGCAUCUAGUACUUUUUAAUGUCUUAAAUACUCAGCAAGCAGAUCUGCAUGAUUAUACCAUGUCCCAACAACUAAUUCAAUUCUAAUAAUUCCUAAUUUCUUUAACACUCACCAAGCAAGUCUGCAUUAUUAUACCUUGUCCCAGAAACUAAUUCAAAUCCGUGGGUUGAUUUGUCGUGACCUCUUUCAUGUUAAUAGUAGAUGUUGUUAAUUUUAAAUAUGUUUGUUCGUUUCUCCAUGGUUAUAUACUUGGGAUGAGCUAUUUGAAUAUUGUGGACUUUGCCUUUAAGUACUCGCAUUGAUGGACCUUCCUUCUGAUAUAUUAUCAGAACUAGCACUCUUCCAUUGUUGCUAAUAAUUUUCAAAGGCUGUUAGUGGUUGACACCUCUUGCUUGAUUCUACUCUUAGUGCUUGGGGGAAUAGCCUAAAUAAGCCUAAGCCUUUUCUUUGCAGAGGGGAAUACAUUUCUACCCAUUUUUCUUUGAAACUUUUUGGGUAUUCAAACAUUUUUCACAUGCCAACUUACCCUUUUCUGUUCUAUCAUUGUCAUACAGUUGAAGCAUAAGCAUAUGAAGCUCACUAGGUACAUUGUUUGUGAAUUUUGAGAACUGUUUGGUCAAUCUAUACUAUAUUAUGCGUAAUCAUGAGAAAAAGAUUCCUUCAAGUUUUAUAGGACAAUAAGAGACAGAUCUAGCAGUUGAACAUUAUUUGUCAGAAAAUGUGGGAGUUCG